rnacentral:rRNA from 1 species
UACGAAGGGGGCUAGCGUUGUUCGGAAUCACUGGGCGUAAAGCGCACGUAGGCGGAUCUUUAAGUCAGAGGUGAAACCCCAAGGCUCAACCUUGGAACUGCCUUUGAUACUGGGGAUCUUGAGUCCGGGAGAGGUGAGUGGAACUGCGAGUGUAGAGGUGAAAUUCGUAGAUAUUCGCAAGAACACCAGUGGCGAAGGCGGCUCACUGGCCCGGUACUGACGCUGAGGUGCGAAAGCGUGGGGAGCAAACAGG